rnacentral:rRNA from 1 species
GACGAACGCUGGCGGCGUGCUUAACACAUGCAAGUCGAACGAAAAGGCCCUGCUUUUGUGCGGUUCUCGAUUGGCGAACGGGUGAGUAACACGUGAGUAACCUGCCCCUAACUUUGGGAUAACUUUAGGAGACUGGGGCUAAUACCGGAUAGGAGCUCCUGCUGCAUGUUGGUGGUUGGAAAGUGUCGGCGGUUGGGGAUGGUCUCGCGGCUUAUCAGCUUCUUUGUGUGGUAGUGGCUUACCAAGGCUUUCACGGGUAGGCGGCCUGAGAGGGUGACCGGCGACAUUGGGACUGAGGGACGGCACAGACUGGUACGGGAGGCAGCAGUGGGGAAUAUUGCACAAUGGGCGGAAGGCUGAUGAAGAAACGCUGCGUGCGGGAUGACGGCCUUAGGGUGGUAAACCGCUUGUGCAUGUGACGAAGCGUGUGUGACGGUAAUGGGUAAAGAAGCCCCGGCUAACUACGUG